rnacentral:rRNA from 1 species
AGAGUUUGAUCCUGGCUUAGGAUGAACGCUAGCGGCAGGCCUAACACAUGCAAGUCGAGGGGCAGCAGGGAGUAGCAAUACUCUGCUGGCGACCGGCGCACGGGUGCGUAACGCGUAUGCAACCUACCCGUAACAGGGGUAUAACGGAGGGAAACUUCCACUAAUCCCCCAUAUUGUCGAGGGACCGCAUGGUCUUUUGACGAAAGCCUUGGUGGUUACGGAUGGGCAUGCGUGGCAUUAGGUAGUCGGCGGGGUAACGGCCCACCGAGCCAACGAUGCCUAGGGGAGCUGAGAGGCUAAUCCCCCACACUGGUACUGAGACACGGACCAGACUCCUACGGGAGGCAGCAGUGAGGAAUAUUGGUCAAUGGGCGGAAGCCUGAACCAGCCAUGCCCGCGUGAGGGAAGGAGGCCCUACGGGUCGUAAACCUCUUUUACACGGGAGCAAUAAGGUUCGUGCGCGGACCGAUGAGAGUACCGUGGGAAUAAGCAUCGGCUAACUCCGUGCCAGCCGCUGC